rnacentral:rRNA from 1 species
GACAUAGGUGGCGAACGUUAUCCGGAAUUAUUGGGCGUAAAGGGUGCGUAGAUGGUUGGAUAAGUUAGCGGUGGGAAAUCGAGGCUCAACCUCGUGGAAGCUGGUAAUACUGUCCGACUAGAAGGUCGAAGAGGUUAACGGAACUCCCGGUGGAGCGGUAAAAUGCACAGAUAUCGGGAAGAACACCAAUAACGGCGAAGGCAGUUAACUAUUCGGCUCUUGACAUUGAGGCACGAAAGCGUGGGGAGCAAAACGG